rnacentral:lncRNA from 1 species
GCAUCUGGCCAUCAGGCUGGAUGCCAUGUUCCAGGCAGUAGAGCUCCCAGCAGGCAUUGCCGAUCUGGACACCAGUCUGGCCAACGUGGAUGGAGAUGCACUCACGCAUGAUAGCAACGGGUUAGAAGGCGAGGGUGAGAGAUAGAAGCAGACACCCGGUCUCGGUUACCGUUCCCGACAACUAAGAGUCGAGUCUAGUAUGGUUUUGUUCAUUUCCAUCACCUGUUUGGAUGUGUUUUCCUUUUUUUCUUUAAGAACUUCUAGCUGUUUGUUUGUAUUUUCGUGUUUUUCUUUAAUGACUUGUAACUCUUUAGCAAUAUUCUCUUGUAUUUCUUUAAAUGAGUUUUUAAAGUCAUUCUUGAUGUCCUCUACCAUCAUCAUGAGAUAUGCUUUUAAAUCCAGGUCUAGCUUUUCGGGUGUGUUGGGUUGCCCAGGAUUGGGUGAGGUGGGAGUGCUGUGUUCUGAUGAUGGUGAGUGGUCUUGGCUUCUGUUAGUAAGAUUUUUACAUUUGCCUCUAGCCAUCUGGUAAUCUCUGGAGUCAGUUGUUAUAGUUGUCUCUGGUUAGUGCUUGUUCCUCUUGUGAUUCCUUUAGUCUCUAUCAGCAGACCUGGGAGACUAGCUCUCUCUUGAGUUUCAGUGGUCAGAGCACUCUCUGCAGGGAAGCUCUCCUCUUGCUUGGAAGGUGCCCAGAUAUCUGGCAUUUGAACCUGCCUCCUGGCAGUAGUUGUGGUCCACUCACCAGAGGUCAUAAGAUUCCGUGGAGAGUGCUCUGGGGACCUUGGGGUUGUCCGCAGACUCCAAGCCCAAGAUUCCUCUGUGGAAUUCUAUAGACAGACAAAGGUGGUGUUACCAUAAAUGUUGGAGAUGCAACUUUUUCAAAUGCAGUGCUCUUGCAGGCACUGUGGUCCCUGGAGGAUGAUACCAGAGAGUGGAGAGCAAUGUGCUGAAGAUACAGACUAGAGCAGAAGAGCCCAGAGCCAGGGUAUGCACCUCUUCUUUGGAUCUGGGAUGACCCCCAUGCACUGGAACAAUAAAUUCCUCUUGCUUUUUGCAUCGAUCCAGGCUCCACGUGGUUCACUCAGGGGUCCCUGGUAAGCUAAGGAUCCCUGGAGUCUUACAGCAGGAGCUGAACAAAGAUUGGCUUCCAGGGUGGGGAGUGAGCACAAGACAGACAAUACCCACGUGGGCCCACUUUAAUGGCCUGGAUCAGGAGUGAGUCCAAGAUGACUAUCAGUAUAGCCCCACGGAUCCCAGACAGGGAGCUGACCUGGGAUGACCACCAAUCUGGUGCUGUGCUGACCUGGGGUAGCUGGGCAGUGCUGCUGCGUGUUCUUGGAGGACUCCUUUGGACCCUGGGGCUGUAAGCUCAAGCGGGUUGUUGUUUCAAAUGAAAGUUACUCCAUUUAAAGACACCUUCUUUAUGAUGGAAGGAUAUGCCAGCAAUUAAUGGCGGGAAGGUUUCUGAGGAGGGAGAGGAAGUAAGAUUUCUAGGACUGCUGUAACAAACUUGAGUUAAGGCAAUAUAGAAUGUGAUCAUAUAUGAGAGAUGAAUCAGAGAUGUGCCCUGUUCUUGAAAUACUCCUGGAUAGGGUCAUGCUGCAGUUAAAGCAGGUGUUAACUAUGGGGGACCAGUUGACCAGUGAUUAGUUCCGAUUGUUUCCUGCCUUUUAGGUUCCUGGGUAUCACACACUUGGUAACACUUCUGCCUAAGAAAUUAAACUCUCAGCUCUCUGUGGACAUUCCCAUUGGCUAAUCUUCACUUGAACAUACAAUACCUAAAAUAAGAAAUCGGUCAGCUUUGAAUAUCUCGGACUUGUUGACAGAUCGUCUCCAUAUUUCAUUUCUGUAGCUAUCUAUGUCUUGUAUGUCUGGCUGUUUCAGAUGACAGUAUUUCUUGAGACAUCUUACUGGAGAAGUGGUGCCCAUGCCUAAGAGACUGAGGGGGCAGUAACACCAAUUGACUCUCCUUGCACCAUAUACUCAGCAGUGGAGGUAGGGGCUUGAGAAGCCCCUUGCCAUGGUCACUAGACGCCUACCAGGAGAAAUGUCCAGAGUGAGGAAGUUCUCUAAAUUCCACAUAUAGUCUUCUCCAACAACAAAGGGUCAGGCUCUGGCCCUACUUCUCUGCCAAUCAGCAGGAGCCUCUUCCACCAAGGAGAUCUGAAAACAAGAGGUUUUGGUUCUUAUUCAUGAUCAUGUUUGGAACCAGAUCCAGAUAUGAAUUCAACUGUCAAACACUCCAGACUUCUCCUUGACUCCACUCAGAGGACAGGUGGUGCACCUCACCUUUCAUGUGGUCAGAUGUCCUAUGACAAAAUGUUCACCAUGGCAUGGCAAAUGGCUCCGAUGAGGCCUGAUGACAUGAAACACCCUGUAAGGACACAUGGCUCUGUGGAUUGUUAGAGUCAGCUUUGGACACAUUCCUGGAUGAUGGCUGGAGGAGAUUUCCAGUGAUGAAUCGUCUGAAGACACUCUUACCUCAUGAACCAGAGCUGGUUACUGUUAGAUAUGCCUUCCUGAGGGGAAUUGGAUAUACUCAUCUGAAGGAAAGCAAGAGAACCUUAUUGACAAGCUGGGAGUAGAUUCUGGGAAGUGCUCUUUCGGGCACUGUUGUCCCUGGAGGAUGAUAUCAGAGAGUGGAGAGCAAUGUGCUGAAGAUACAGACCAGAGCAGAAGAGCACAGAGCCAGGAGUCAGAAGCCCCUGAAUCAAAGAACCAUGGAGUGCUGGUGAUUACCAAGGAAACUGAGAAGAAACAGCAGACUUUAGAGAACCUUCAUGCACUGUGAGAAUGUCAAUUCAGCUGGCUGGCUUCAGGUUUACCUGUCAGCCGAGCAGCCAGUGGUCCUGAAGGCAGAGCAAGGAACCCAGAGGACCUGGGUUUGAUCAAGUUAGAGGUAGCAAUAAAACUGAUAAGCCAUGAGGCCUGAUGACAUGAAACACCCUGUAAGGACACAUGGCUCUGUGGAUU